GUUUAUGGCCACAUUCUCUUAAAAGCAAGUUGGUCCACGUUCGAUGACCAAAAGCUGAACAACGUACAGCCUAAUUAGUAUUUAGAUGGGUAACCGCUUAAAGGGGCCUAGGUGCUGUAAGUA
rnacentral:rRNA from 1 species